CAGCAGCCACGGGAAUACGUAUGUCGCGAGCGUUAUCCGGAAUUAUUGGGCAUAAAGGGCAUCUAGGCGGCCGGAUAAGUCUGGGGUGAAAACUUGCGGCUCAACCGCAAGCCUGCCCUGGAAACUAUGCGGCUAGAGUACUGGAGAGGUGGACGGAACUGCACGAGUAGAGGUGAAGUUCGUAGAUAUGUGCAGGAAUGCCGAUGAUGAAGAUAGUUCACUGGACGGUAACUGACGCUGAAGUGCGAAAGCUAGGGGAGCAAACAGGAUUAGAUACCCGCGUAGUCCCUGUCUCUUAUAC
rnacentral:rRNA from 1 species